rnacentral:rRNA from 1 species
GGUACCUGAAGAAUAAGCACCGGCUAACUACGUGCCAGCAGCCGCGGUAAUACGUAGGGUGCAAGCGUUAACCGGAAUUACUGGGCGUAAAGCGUGCGCAGGCGGUUCUGUAAGAUAGAUGUGAAAUCCCCGGGCUCAACCUGGGAAUUGCAUAUAUGACUGCAGGACUUGAGUUUGUCAGAGGAGGGUGGAAUUCCACGUGUAGCAGUGAAAUGCGUAGAUAUGUGGAAGAACACCGAUGGCGAAGGCAGCCCUCUGGGACAUGACUGACGCUCAUGCACGAAAGCGUGGGGAGCAAACAGGAUUAGAUACCCUGGUAGUCCACGCCCUAAACGAUGUCUACUAGUUGUUGGGGACGAUAGUCCUUGGUCACGCAGCUAACGCGUGAAGUAGACCGCCUGGGGA